UUUGAUAGUUGAACUUUAGACUGUAAAUCCAUAUAGAUAUAUGAUGGACGGAUUCUAGAAGCUAGGAUAGCUUCAAAUCGUCCAAAGGGAUAUCUAUGGAAAGGAUUUGGAUAGCCUUAAGAGAAGAUUAUCCAAUUAGGGUUUAGGUUGUAACCCUUAAGGAGUCUACAAGUAUAAAUAGACCCUAUGGCUAAGGGAAAUCGGCACUUCAUCUAAAGCAUAGAAACCCUGGCCGAUUUCCUUCCCCUCUCCUCUCUCCCAAAUCAUCCUCCUUGCUAUUUGGUGUUUGUAAGCCAUUAGAGGAGUGACAAUUGUGACUCUAGAAGCUCCAAGACAACAAGAUCAACAAGGAAUUCAAAGGUAUGAUUCUGGAUCUGUUUUAACAUUGUUCUUAUUCUUAAAUAGUCAUUAGAAGUCUUGGAUUCAAAGCAUGUUUAAUUAGAAAGCCUAGAUCCAAGCAUUAGGGUUUUGCAUGCGCACAUAGGAAAGUUCUUAUGGCUAAAACCCAUCAGUGGUAUCAGAGCCUAGCUUGGUUUUCUGUAAAUUGUUGCUUGAUUAACUGAAACAAACCUGCAAAAUUCGAAUUUUUGGUUUCUGAGUCAUGGACUCGGCGAGUCUCAAAGUGGACUCGGCGAGUAGGCCUGACUCGGCGAGUCCAUUUGUGCACUCGGCGAGUCCAGGCGUCAGGAAUGGCCAGAUUCGGGAUUUCUUUGUGUUUAUCUUAUCUUAACUUACCAUAAACUAAUUAGAUCAACAUUAAUUCGUUUUUCUGAUAAAUAUAACUAUUAUCUUGAUCUAGUUAAAGGUAAUUAUCAACUAAUUAAAUAUUUAAUUUCCUUAUAUGAUAAUUAAUUAAUUAUUUUGAUUAUUUUGGUAAUUAUCUUUAAAAGAAAUCUUGAAUAAAUCAAAUAUAGAUAAUUAGGAUAUUAAUUGUUAAUUGGAAUUAUUUGUUAUUUGAUCCUCCAUGUUUUAAAUGUUUAAAACCUACCCUCAUGUUUUGAAAUUUACUUUUGUGAUUAAAAGUUUUAAUUUAGACAACUUAAAUUUCAAACCCUAGAUUUUAAAAGUUUUAAAAUACAACCCUAUACUAAUAUGAUAUUACUAGAAUAAUAUAUAUAUGUAUAACUAAAUGCUAGUCUUACCGUUAGUAGGCCUCAUUCACGAAGCCGAUCUAUAAGGUGGGUAUAAGGUUGCGGCCUAUAAAAUGGCGCUUAAUGGGUGUACACUCACACCCACCGCUUGCUUGAUUGGUGGAGGGUCGUUAGCCGAACGGGUAGGAUAGGGCAACCUCAUCCUCUCAUUAAAAGUAUAAUAAGAAAUAUAAAGUAACUACACAUUUUUUUAAAAUUUCCCAAUCCUAGUUACUUUAGGAAAAGUGAAUUGAUGCAAUCCCAUGAAAUUACACUUUGCACCUUGCUAAGAUGUUAGUGGAGCGUGUGUGGUUUACCGGCACACUAAUUGGUUCUAAGCGAAGGUGGCAAAGGGUGAUUCAUUGUUUAUCAUAGUUCGAUGGAGCGUGUGUGGUUUACCGGCACAUCGAAUAGGUGAUUGUUACAAUGAAGGCACCAUGUGAAUUUGCAUGGUAAUUCACACCCGCUUUGUGAUCCUCGGCAUCCCAGUCACAAACAAGAGGGGCAUAUCGAGAUUUAAACAUGCCAUUGAAUAGUUUCAAUGAAUCUCAUCCGAACCUAGGAAUUCUCAAAAACACUUAGGACUAAUAGUUUAAGUUUUGUGAUGGAGAAUUAGUGAAUCGUCAUUCACUUACCUUCAAUUUAUUUGCAUGUUAGAUUACGGCAUCCCUUUUCUAGUAUGUAAAUGUUAUUGUUGGAUCCUAGCCCUAAUUUUCUUAUUGGGUGAUAAUUAGGGAUUCUUAUUCUAAUCUAUCUUUGUCCUUUUCUAAUUGUAGAUGUCGAACGCAAACAACGCUGCUGCUAGUUCUUUCACGUUGAUGAGCCUUUGCCAAAAGGUCACCUUCGAUGGAACGAACUUUAGCGAAUGGAUAAGAUACAUUCGCACCAUUGCUCGCUAUGAGGAUAAGGAGUAUGUCCUCGAUGAGAAGCUCGAGAAAAUCAACCCCGAAAUUGCUACUCCCGCCGAAAUCACCGCCUUUGAAACUCAUGAGCGAGAUGCAACGAAGGUACAUUGCAUCAUGAUCGCCACCAUGAACUCCGAAUUCCAAAAGUCCUACGAGGACAUGUACCCGUACGAGAUGCAUCAAGACUUAUUGGAGAGGUACCACCAAAACGCGAGACAAGAGAGGUACGAGAUUUUCACUAACAUGAUUUCCGCGAAGAUGGGUCAUGGAGAAUCUCUUACCGUGCACUUGCAAAAGAUGCAAAGGUAUGUUGACCGCCUCCGCAAGUUAAAUGUUGACUUCGGUGAAGACUUGGCGAUCGACAUGGUGCUUCACUCUUUGCCUCCGAUGUACAACCAAUUUAGGAUGACCUACCACAUGAACAAAGAAGAGGUCACCCUAAGCAAGCUCCAAGGUCUCUUGAGGGUUGCUGAGAGCAACUUCAAAGACAAGUCUGUUGCACCUACUCCCAAUCCGCCCGCUGCUCCUGUCUUGGCUAUUGGACAAGGGAAGGGAAAGAAGAGGAAAGCUUCAUCGAAGAACUAUCGCAAGGUGAAAGCCCGAGAUGGUGCCUCUUCUAGUGGGACCAAAGUUGAUCCCGCCAAGCCCUGCUCUAACCCGAAGGAGGCAGAGUGCCACCACUGCCACAAGAUAGGACAUUGGAAGAGAAGCUGCCCGGAUUACCUGCAAGCAAUCAAAGAAGGAAAGAUCAAGCCAUCUUUCGCAGGUAUAUAUACAAUCAAAUCUAACGAUUCUAAUCAUGCUAUUUCUUGGGUUCUUGAUACCGGUUGUGGUUAUCACAUUUGUUCUAAUGUGCAGGGACUAAGAAGAAGUAGGGAUGUGGAGCAAGGAAGGAUCAAUCUAAUCAUGGGGAACAGAAGAUCGUCGCCUGUGACCAAGAUUGGAGUGUAUUCCUUAGUGCUUAGGAAUAGUUUAGUUUUAGAUUUGAACAAUUGUUGCUAUUCGCCAGAAAUGGCAAGAAACAUCAUUUCAUUUCAUGGUUUAUAUAGACAAGGAUUUAGAUUUUCUUUUAAUAAUGAGAAUGGUUCUAUUUUGGCUUAUCUAAAUGGUGUCUUUUACUUUGAAGCUAUACCAUGUAAUGGAAUAUAUGAAACCGUUAUGAUUGUUGAUAACUUAGGAAAUGAUGUUUUGAAUAUUGAUUCUUCCACUAGUAUGGAUAAAGCAUCCUUGUGGCAUUGUCGUCUUGGACAUGUCAACAAGAAACGCAUAGCCCAACUCCAAAAGGAUGGAGUGUUGGAGUCAUUCGACCUUAGGGAAGAUGACACAUGCGAGUCUUGUUUGCUUGGAAAGAUGACUAAGUCACCCUUCACGAGUACAUGUGAAAGGGGCGAGGGUCUAUUGGACCUAAUACAUACCGAUGUAUGUGGACCGUUUAGAUCAACCACGAAGGAUGGGAACCGCUUCUAUGUGACUUUUACCGAUGACUAUAGUAGAUAUGGGUAUAUCUACUUAAUCAAGCAAAAGUCAGACACCUUUGAAAAGUUCAAAGAGUUCAAGAAUGAAGUGGAGAAUCAAUUGGGCAGGAAAAUCAAGAUGCUUCGAUCCGAUCGAGGAGGAGAGUACCUAAGUCUUGAAUUCCACGAUUAUCUCAAGGAGUGUGGAAUAGUUUCGCAAUUGACGCCUCCUAGGACACCGCAGUUGAAUGGUGUGGCAGAAAGGCGUAAUCGAACCUUAUUGGAUAUGGUUCGCUCUAUGAUGAGUCGUGCUUCACUACCUAUCUCUUUUUGGGGGUAUGCCUUAGAGACUGCCGCCCAUAUCCUUAACCGAGUCCCUACUAAGAAGGUUGCCAAAACACCUCACGAGAUGUGGACAGGGAAAGCUCCCUCGUUGGCACAUAUCAAGGUUUGGGGUUGCGAGGCUUUCGUAAGACGAGAUACUCACGACAAGCUUGAACCUCGAAGUGAGCGAUGUAUUUUCAUCGGCUACCCGCAGACAUCCUUUGGAUAUCUCUUCUAUAGACCGAAGGACAAUGUUGUCUUCGUUGCGAGGAGAGGAGUUUUCCGAGAGCGAGAACUCAUAAGCCAAGGAGACAGUGGGAGGCAAAUCGAGCUUGAAGAGAUUCAAGAGUCGAUAGAUGAAGGAACCUCUACCGCUGGCACUCAACCCGAGGAGGAAACUCCGGUUGAACCGAUUGACGAAUCCUUACCUCUUAGACGUUCCGAUAGAGUUAGAGUUCAACCCCAGUUUUAUGGUUUUCAUAUUACUACCGAAGGGGACACGUAUAUUAGUGAUGGUACACUAAUAAAUCUUGAUGAACCUAAUAGCUAUAAGGAAGCCAUGGCAGGCCCGGAGUCUGCAAAAUGGAAAGAGGCAAUGGAUAGCGAGAUCCAAUCCAUGUAUGAUAACCAAGUUUGGAAUUUGGUUGAUUAUGUGCCCGGACGUAAGACCGUUGGGUGCAAAUGGAUCUUCAAGAAGAAGACCGACGUGGAUGGAAACGUACACACAUAUAAAGCGCGAUUGGUUGCGAAGGGCUUUACUCAAACUCCCGGAGUUGACUAUGAUGAGACCUUCUCACCAGUUGCGAAGAUUAAAUCUAUUAGAGUGAUGCUAGCAAUUGCCGCAUUUCAUGAUUAUGAGAUUUGGCAAAUGGAUGUCAAGACCGCUUUCCUUAACGGAAAGUUGGCUGAGGAUGUUUACAUGGCUCAGCCAGAGGGGUUUGUGGAUCCGAAGCAUCCGAAUAGAGUGUGUAAGCUUGAGAAGUCCAUUUAUGGACUUAAGCAAGCGUCUCGCAGAUGGAAUCUUUGCUUCGAUGAGAAAGUCAAAGAGUUUGGAUUUGUACGAAGCGAAGACGAAUCUUGUGUAUAUGUCAAAGCCAGUGGGAGUAUAGUAAGCUUCCUCGUUCUAUAUGUCGAUGACAUAUUACUCAUAGGAAACGACAUCCCGACUCUGCAGGAGGUUAAGUCCUGGCUCGGGAAGUGCUUCGCUAUGAAGGACCUCGGAGAGGCUUCUUACAUUUUGGGAAUAAGGAUAGUAAGAGAAAGAAGUAAGAGACUAAUUGGACUUAGUCAGAAUACUUACUUAGAGAAGGUACUAAAACGUUUUAGUAUGGAAAACUCAAAGAAGGGAGAACUACCGAUACAAAGUAAUGCCAAAUUGAGUAAGACUCAAAGUCCGAGUACCGAAGCUGAGAUAGCAGAAAUGAGCCGAGUACCAUACGCUUCCGCAGUUGGCUCAAUCAUGUACGCUAUGACUUGUACUCGCCCUGAUGUAGCCUUCGCUUUGAGCAUGGUUAGCAGAUAUCAAGGGAAUCCUGGCAGAGCACAUUGGAUUGCGGUGAAGAAUAUCCUUAAGUACCUUCGGAGGACGAAGGAAUGGUUCUUAGUCCUCGGAGGGAGUGAUGACUUGAAGGUGCGAGGGUAUAGUGACGCCAGUUUUCAGACCGACAGGGACAACUACCGUUCGCAGUCGGGCUGGGUCUUUACCCUAAAUGGAGGAGCAGUGACAUGGAAGAGUUCCAAGCAGGAAACCGUAGCUGAUUCAACGUGCGAAUCAGAGUACAUUGCAGCGAGCGAAGCGUCGAAGGAGGCAAUAUGGCUAAAGAACUUCAUCGGUGAUCUUGGAGUUGUACCUGCCAUAAAGGAGCCCAUGGAGAUUUUCUGUGAUAACGAAGGAGCGGUUGCCUUGACCAAGGAACCGAGGGAUCAUGGUAGAUCAAGACAUAUCGACAGAAAAUAUCACUUCAUUAGACAUCGUGUAGAAGAAGGACAACUCGUAGUGAAGAGGAUAUCAUCAGAAGAUAACCCAGCAGAUCCGCUUACGAAGGGACUGAGUAGGGUUAAGCACUUGCAGCAUGCUAGGAGUAUUGGGCUGAAGGAUGAUAUUAGCAUAGAUUAGAUAGUAUUAGAAACGUGUAAUAGAUAAAUGUAAUUAACAUUUGAUGAUUAAAUAAAGGAGUUUUAUUUAUGAGUAAUGUUACUAUCUUAUGUUAAUUGUUUAACUAUUGUUUCACUUUGCAUGUUUUGACUUCCAGAAUAAUUGAGUUUAUUAGGAAUAAUCGAAUUGUUCAAAUUGUCCACAAUCGUUCAUAUGUUGGAAGUAGAUAUGAAUGAAGAUUGUCAUGAAUUGGUGUGUAGAUUGUCUAAAUGGUGUUAGACAUAGCAAAGGGUUGCUGCAACGUUCAUGAGUGCUUAUGAACUAGUUUUGAGCAUUGGAACAAACCCGCGCUUGCUGGAAUCACCUUAUGGAAUAUGAUAUAAAAGGGUGAUCGCAAGACGAUAAUAUCAUAUAGUCUUAAAACCUAGAUAUAUGGUUUGUUAUUUGUUAAUUGAUUGUACAUUGAUAAUGCGAAAACGCAUCAGUAACUCGGUGUUAUAAAACGUAUUGUUGUGUAUAGUUGGUUAAUGAAUAAGUAAAUGCAUAUAAGUCGAAGUUUAUCUGUAACUUUUAUCUAAGAAGGUAAAAGCGAUAUCUCGGCCGCUCGAUGAUUUGAUUUGACUUAUGUGCCGGGCCCGGUCAGAACUGAAUUGAUGUGUUCGAUUAAGUUCUAUGUCAAAUAAAUCAGAGAUCGAGAAACCUAAAUGCUUGACUAACCAUUCCAUAGGAUUGUCAGCAUGAUAUCUAACAGAGGACUGUACGAUCCCUUAUCUAAAGGACAAGAUUGAUUAGAUCAGAGUUUGACAGCGUCUUUGAGAGCUACGAUUGCAAACCGAAUUGUACUUGUGCAUAUAGUUACUAGACUUAUCCAAGUGGGAGACUGUUGGAAUAGUGUCUAAGGCUGCAACUAUAUUAGGCAAGUAUUUGACCCGGUUGUGCAUAGUCCUUUUGGGUUGCCUUCACCAUAGCAACUUGAUAGGAUGAUUUAUUAAGAGAGAGUAAAUAUUAUUAAUAUAUUAUGAGAAUAAUAUAAAGAAUAAUAUAUUUUUAUUUGAUUAAUAUAAGUCAUAGAAUUAAUUGGAAUUAAUUUGGUGACUUAAAGAGAUUAAUUAAAUAAGAGGGUAUAAACUGUUAAUUGUUUGAUAGUUGAACUUUAGACUGUAAAUCCAUAUAGAUAUAUGAUGGACGGAUUCUAGAAGCUAGGAUAGCUUCAAAUCGUCCAAAGGGAUAUCUAUGGAAAGGAUUUGGAUAGCCUUAAGAGAAGAUUAUCCAAUUAGGGUUUAGGUUGUAACCCUUAAGGAGUCUACAAGUAUAAAUAGACCAUAUGGCUAUGGGAAAUCGACACUUCAUCUAAAGCAUAGAAACCCUGGCCGAUUUCCUUCCCCUCUCCUCUCUCCCAAAUCAUCCUCCUUGCUAUUUGGUGUUUGUAAGCCAUUAGAGGAGUGACAAUUGUGAUUCUAGAAGCUCCAAGACAAUAAGAUCAACAAGGAAUUCAAAGGUAUGAUUCUAGAUCUGUUUUAUCAUUGUUCUUAUUCUUAAAUAGUCAUUAGAAGUCUUGGAUUCAAAGCAUGUUUAAUUA
rnacentral:lncRNA from 1 species